rnacentral:misc_RNA from 1 species
UUAAGUUCAGCGGGUAUCCCUACCUGAUCCGAGGUCAACCAUAGAAAAUUGGGGGGUUAAUGGCGAGCGUCCACCAGGACUCCAUAGCGAGAAGAAUUACUACGCUUAGAGCCAGGUGGCACCGCCACUGAUUUAAGGGCUGCCAGUGCGGCAGGCCCCAACACCAAGCUGAGCUUGAGGGGUUAUAAUGACGCUCGAAC